UCAAAGGCUAAUGUGAUUUCUGAAACUUUGGUUACCGUUUUGUAACAUCUUUGUGUGGACAGAGACACUAAACUCUCCCCGACGAGAAAACAAUUGCUUCGGGAUUUAAACUUGAAUAGUUGCACAAUAUUAGUAGAGCAAUGUUAAUUUUAAAAUGUAGCAUUAUGACCAAUUUCGUAACAUUUAAUAUUACUGUAGACAUUGCCUCAAAUAUUAUUGCUACUUCCCAAGCUUUUGAUAGGCUACUGUAAAGUUGUUUGGGUGCACAGAACAGUUGAAAUAGCGAAAACUUGCACCUUUACUCAGCAUUCCAGUUUGAUUACUUUAUUAUGUUUAUCACACGAUCACUUUAACUAAAAAUAUCAUCUGUAUUUGCUUGAAUCUACAAACUGCUAAAUUGGACCAAGUAGGCUAUUCAAAGUGACAUCUAGUGUCCACAAAAAUACAUCGCAAUACUGGUAAUUGGACUAAGAGAUAAAUCAAAAGGGACACGUUUUGAGAUACAGUUAUCUUUUCAUGUUUUCAAUUAGAAUGGAAUGUCUAUGCGGGAAGUGAAAAUAGCAUAUCACCUAUCACCAGUGCAUCUCAUCUCUUGCAGAAUUCCUGGUGAUUCCACAAUGAUCAAACUCAAUGCUAAAUUGAUCACCUAAAAUAGUUAAUUACAUGGUUAACUAUCCUGCCUCGUCUGGCUACUUGGGUCUAAAUUGGUAGCUGGAUUUAAAGUGAAUACAAAAACCAGUAAACUCUGUGGUUGACCAGGACCAGUGCUGUCCACCCCUGCUGUUUGGGCACGUAUUUCUGCAUGCCUGGCUGACACUGCAGCCUGGAUGCCCCCCGUGACCUGAAACUCAACCUAGGGAAGGCAGAACGCCUGUGCCUCCUGGCAAAGGGUUCUCUGAAAAUUGAUACUUCAGCUGCUUUCAGCAGCCCUGCAGUGUCUCCUGCUCUGCUAAGAACCUUGGCAUGAUCCUGGAUCAUCACCUGAGCUAACUGGGACACAUCAUGGCAACCAACUGGUCCUGCUGGGUCUCCAUGCACAACAUCAGAAGAAUCUGCCCUUUCCUCAUCAAAGAGACUGCACUGUCACAGCUACUCAUCCAAGCUUCCUUCAUUUCUCAUAUGUGCUAUUGCAGAAGAUUAGUGGGGGGUUCUUUUCUGUAUAUUUGUGUUGGCUACAAUAACGGCCUUGAAGGUCACUUUGGACAAAAACAUCAGGUAAAUUAAUAACAUGUAAUGAGGGUACAUUUGCCAUGUGCUCCUAAAGUGUGGUUUAGAAACCUUAAUAUGCCACCAGUGUGGUCUUUUAGGGGAACUAAUAAGAGUUUCAUAUCACUUGGCAGGCUCCCAGCACAUACACACUCAUCUUCCCUUAACCUGAAUUGGUAAAGAAAAAUAAAUCUCUAGAAGUCUAUUCUCCUUCGGACUUUGAAAUAAGCAGUCCCUACUUCCCCCAGAAAUUAAAUCUGGCAUCACAUUGUGCAGAAUAACAGAGAGGAACAGUAGGUUUUGAUAAAACAGAAUGUGACAUGCUUGCACUUGUAGUCAAAGUACAAUUCCCAUGUUCCAUUUGAAUUUAUGGUUAAUUUCUGGGAUCCCUUCCAGAAAUUUCAGGGUGUUGGCAUGAGGAAACCUUGUAAUUAUUUCAGCGCUCUUGUCAACUGUUGUAACAUAGAUAUGUUUAUAUUGGCACAAUUGUGUAAUUUCACCAUCUGUCAAAGUAAUUACUGAGGAAGGAGCAACAGCAAUUUAGAGGUCUUUGGUAAUAUAUUGUUUUUGCUAAAGAGGAGAGAGUACUUAAGCAGGCAAUUAAGAUUAACAGGGUCAGUAGCUUAAAUUGUACAUGGUGAUGUGUUGCACUAAAAAGAUAUUUGGUCCAAGUCUUCACAUGUAGAUAUGGUAACAUACUGGGCAGCAGCAGAAAUAUCUUGGAAUGCCAGAAAAUGUCUCAAAAUUGAAUUAUUGUUCAGCUACACCGCUCAAUUGAACCAUUUAUCAAACCUAAGUGAUAGCAUUUAAGGCACAUAUUCUGUCUGAAUCCUUGUGUAGGCUGUAU